CUUCAGUUGAGAUUUUGAAAAGAAUGCCUCAAAGACUGACGCCAUUGAAGUUCAGCAUGGAAUAGUAAAAGGGUUGGCAAAAUGCUCAUCAAAGUCCAGUACCGUGGACUAAAAAAAGUACCUCAAACUGCAUCCUGGUUUUUCUUAUGAAAGUUUCAUUGAAGAAGAAUUUGUGCCAGCAGGUUCUUCUACUCUAAUUUCUUCAAGUGAUAUGGAGAGGUCCUCUUCAAACAAGGGACAUCAAUCUCCUGGUGCAGGAGAGAACACCUCUGCCAUAGGGGAUGCAGCAGAAAAGGCCAAAUGAUGGUCCAGGAGGUUCUGGAGAAGAGUUCAGGGGGAGAGGAAACAAUGGAGGAAUAUAAGAGAUUGAGCACCGUGACAUACUGCACAAGACGGCAUCAUAUCCUGGUCAGCCACAUUGUUGAAAUGCAUGGGAACUCUGGAUCUCAUUCAUAGUCACAAUUGGGUCCUUGGUUACCUGUUUGACCAAGGCCCCUUUGUCCCAGGAUUACUCAGUUUGGCUUUCUUUUUGCGGAGAGUUGGAGGAUUUUGUGUAGAUGUUGAUGAAGAUGAUAUGUUUGUUAUAUCUCUAUUUUUUUUUUUCUCAACGUCAGGUUU